GCAAUACUGGUUGGCUGCACAGAGACCUUGCCAGGUCUGGAACCUGUUCAGCAGACACAACUGGUGCCAGGGCAGGUCAAAACCAGUCACAGAAGAAGAAUUACCAAGUGUGAAAUACCAGUUCACCACAAGUGGUAUUAUCUUUGAGGUCUACAGACAUCAGAGAGGCCAUUGUGGACAAAAGACUUUGUUGACUGCUUCCUCCACAGCCCUGAAAAAGGGCUUGCAAUCCAAGACCCUGGAUUUGCUAACCUUGUGCCCAUAGAAUUCAAUGGAGUCCAUGUGGGCUUAAAUGUAGCUCAUCUACUUGCAUCAUCGAAGCCAAAAGUAAGCUGAGAAAAACGAAGCGAUGACA